rnacentral:rRNA from 1 species
AACGUAGGAGGCAAGCGUUAUCCGGAGUUACUGGGCGUAAAGCGUGCGUAGGCGGGCUGAUAAGUGAGUGGUGAAAGCCCCUCGGCUAAACUGAGGGAGGACCAUUCAGACUGUCAGUCUAGAGGCGGAUAGAGGAGCGUGGAAUUCCGGGUGUAGCGGUGAAAUGUGUAGAGAUCCGGAGGAACACCAGUGGCGCGAAGCGGCGCUCUGGGUCCGUACUGACGCUGGAAGUACGGAAAGCGUGGGGAGCGAACGGG